AUGCGCUGUUUCCGGUCAUACCCGGAAACACGAGUACAAGCUGCAGCUGGCGGGGAUUGCAGGGUGCCGGCCGUCUGAGUUUUUUUAAAACUGCUCGCUGCGAAGUCUGUCUGCAGCCAAAAUGUCCAACAGAAACAACAACAAGCUGCCCAGCAACCUGCCGCAGUUACAGAAUCUAAUCAAGCGAGACCCGCCGGCCUACAUCGAGGAGGUGGGAGUGCGGCGCGGCAGACGCUAGAGGCCGGGUAGUGGAUGGUUGAGACGCCGUUUCUACAGCAGUAUAAUCACUACAAAUCCAAUGUGGAGAUUUUCAAAUUGCAACCAAAUAAACCCAGCAAAGAACUAGCAGAGCUGGUGAUGUUUAUGGCACAGAUUAGUCACUGCUACCCAGAGUACCUAAGUAAUUUUCCUCAAGAGGUGAAAGAUCUUCUCUCCUGCAAUCAUACCGUAUUGGAUCCAGAUCUGCGAAUGACAUUUUGCAAAGCUUUGAUCUUGCUGAGAAAUAAGAAUCUCAUCAAUCCAUCAAGCCUGCUAGAACUCUUCUUUGAACUUUUUCGUU
rnacentral:sRNA from 1 species